CCUACGGGAGGCAGCAGUGGGGAAUAUUGGACAAUGGGCGGAAGCCUGAUCCAGCCAUGCCGCGUGUGUGAAGAAGGCCUUUUGGUUGUAAAGCACUUUAAGCGAGGAGGAGGCUACUAGUACUAAUACUACUGGAUAGUGGACGUUACUCGCAGAAUAAGCACCGGCUAACUCUGUGCCAGCAGCCGCGGUAAUACAGAGGGUGCGAGCGUUAAUCGGAUCUACUGGGCGUAAAGCGUGCGUAGGCGGCUUUUUAAGUCGGAUGUGAAAUCCCCGAGCUUAACUUGGGAAUUGCAUUCGAUACUGGGAAGCUAGAGUAUGGGAGAGGAUGGUAGAAUUCCAGGUGUAGCGGUGAAAUGCGUAGAGAUCUGGAGGAAUACCGAUGGCGAAGGCAGCCAUCUGGCCUAAUACUGACGCUGAGGUACGAAAGCAUGGGGANCAAACAGGAUUAGAUACCCUGGUAGUCCAUGCCGUAAACGAUGUCUACUAGCCGUUGGGGCCUUUGAGGCUUUAGUGGCGCAGCUAAGCGAUAAGUAGACCGCCUGGGGGAGUACGGUCGCAAGCUAAAACCUUGAAAGUAUUGGACGGUCGAGAGAGNGACGACGGACGACGACGGAGGGGAGGAGG
rnacentral:rRNA from 1 species